rnacentral:lncRNA from 1 species
AUGGAGAAUCAAACCCAAACGAAGUCUAUACUGGCUCGGUCGUCGCCCAGGAUAAAAAGGACCGCGGUGGAUGCUGCUGAUUCUGGACAUCCAUCGACAAGUGGGCUACGGAAUCAUCAAAACCCAAAUGAACAGUCACAGAAGCGGCAGAAAUACACAAUGCCAGAAACCCGCACAAUUAUGAAAUGCUACUACAAAUCUGAACCUCAAAGGCGUGGCUACCAAAAAAGGAUGCAUCAGCUAUGGAAACAAGAGUACCCUGACUCACAGAUAACAGAACCCCGACUGGCUGACCAACGAAGAUUCAUAAUCAGAAACAAAGUGUUCAGUGAAGUUGAACUCGAAGAAAUCCAGAAAAUUUGCAAAGUAAAUUACCAUCAGACCACAGCACAGACAGCAGCAGAGACUCCAGCAACACUUGAAAUGGUGGAACAGAUUGAACCAGAAGAAAGUGUGGAGCUUUUGCAAGAAUUUCAUGAACCAGCACUUGAAACAUCUGCUGAACCACCAGGAACCUUGACAGCAAGACAACAAGAGCUCAAGGAUAAGAUCAUGGCUCAUGCUGCAGCAAAUGCAAUAAGAAAGCGGCUCCCAACUCUAAAAACAGUGCCCAAGAGACACCUGGCGCCUCUCAUGAAAGAUGUGAAUGCAGCACUCUCCACUGUCCAAAUAACAUCAAUUGAACAAACAAACCAGUAUGCCUACAGUGCAGCAGUGAUAGUAACAGAAGAGCUUGGGCUCCUACAACCAAGGCAGCCCCAAAGAAAAUCGACUGGAAAACCAAAGUGGAAGGUCAGGCUAGAGUUGAAAAUCAAAAAGCUUAGAUCAGAUGCAAGUAACCUGAAAAAUAUGAAAGAGAAGAAACUGAAGAAUGACAAAAUCAAGCAAUACCUGAUCCGAAAGUACUGGCUGAACACCAGAAAAAUUGAAGAAGCUUUGGAAAUUGUGAAAGAACAAAGAGACCACAUGGGCCAUCUAGUCCAACCCCCUGCUAAGAAGCAGGAAAUCGCAUUCAAAGCACCCCCGACAGAUGACCAAAGACGGUUCUACCAGAGCCUGAACCAAACAACAGACACAGUAACCAUAAAACCAGAGAAAACUGCAACAACGAAGUUCUCACAGUGA